AGGACGAACGCUGGCGGCGUGCCUAAUACAUGCAAGUCGAGCGGACAGAAGGGAGCUUGCUCCCGGAUGUUAGCGGCGGACGGGUGAGUAACACGUGGGUAACCUGCCUGUAAGACUGGGAUAACUCCGGGAAACCGGAGCUAAUACCGGAUAGUUCCUUGAACCGCAUGGUUCAAGGAUGAAAGACGGUUUCGGCUGUCACUUACAGAUGGACCCGCGGCGCAUUAGCUAGUUGGUGAGGUAACGGCUCACCAAGGCGACGAUGCGUAGCCGACCUGAGAGGGUGAUCGGCCACACUGGGACUGAGACACGGCCCAGACUCCUACGGGAGGCAGCAGUAGGGAAUCUUCCGCAAUGGACGAAAGUCUGACGGAGCAACGCCGCGUGAGUGAUGAAGGUUUUCGGAUCGUAAAGCUCUGUUGUUAGGGAAGAACAAGUGCAAGAGUAACUGCUUGCACCUUGACGGUACCUAACCAGAAAGCCACGGCUAACUACGUGCCAGCAGCCGCGGUAAUACGUAGGUGGCAAGCGUUGUCCGGAAUUAUUGGGCGUAAAGGGCUCGCAGGCGGUUUCUUAAGUCUGAUGUGAAAGCCCCCGGCUCAACCGGGGAGGGUCAUUGGAAACUGGGAAACUUGAGUGCAGAAGAGGAGAGUGGAAUUCCACGUGUAGCGGUGAAAUGCGUAGAGAUGUGGAGGAACACCAGUGGCGAAGGCGACUCUCUGGUCUGUAACUGACGCUGAGGAGCGAAAGCGUGGGGAGCGAACAGGAUUAGAUACCCUGGUAGUCCACGCCGUAAACGAUGAGUGCUAAGUGUUAGGGGGUUUCCGCCCCUUAGUGCUGCAGCUAACGCAUUAAGCACUCCGCCUGGGGAGUACGGUCGCAAGACUGAAACUCAAAGGAAUUGACGGGGGCCCGCACAAGCGGUGGAGCAUGUGGUUUAAUUCGAAGCAACGCGAAGAACCUUACCAGGUCUUGACAUCCUCUGACAACCCUAGAGAUAGGGCUUUCCCUUCGGGGACAGAGUGACAGGUGGUGCAUGGUUGUCGUCAGCUCGUGUCGUGAGAUGUUGGGUUAAGUCCCGCAACGAGCGCAACCCUUGAUCUUAGUUGCCAGCAUUCAGUUGGGCACUCUAAGGUGACUGCCGGUGACAAACCGGAGGAAGGUGGGGAUGACGUCAAAUCAUCAUGCCCCUUAUGACCUGGGCUACACACGUGCUACAAUGGACAGAACAAAGGGCUGCGAGACCGCAAGGUUUAGCCAAUCCCACAAAUCUGUUCUCAGUUCGGAUCGCAGUCUGCAACUCGACUGCGUGAAGCUGGAAUCGCUAGUAAUCGCGGAUCAGCAUGCCG
rnacentral:rRNA from 1 species